rfam:Bombyx mori DNA, contig: Bm_scaf40_contig22996, strain: p50T/Dazao, build 2, whole genome shotgun sequence.
UUAACUCAAAUUUGUAUGGAGUUGAAAGCUUCACUUCGUAUGCCGCUAGAGAGGCUGUUCCAACUACAUACAAAUUAGAGUUA